rnacentral:lncRNA from 1 species
CCUAAACACAAAAUAAAGUUAGUAAGCCUCUUUAAUCUUCUACAAAAAGAAAAGCAAUCAAAUCCGACAGGAAACUCUAAGAAAAAUAUUUUAUUCGCCUGGCCAUUUCACUUUAGUUACUUUAGGCAUUCUCUAAGAUUCGGCGGUCUUUUCCAGUUCUCCAGUCCUUUUCCUUAGGGAAAAAGGACAUGCAUGUACCCACUGAACCUCCUUUAAGCAUUGGGACUCAUGGAAGAAAAAAAAACAUAAUGAAAUAUGGCAAUGAACUUAUUCAAACAUCAUCGGAUUAGAAAUGAUGUCAUUUUUUAACAUUUUUUAGUAGAUUGUGUCAUGGCUGAGAUCCAGGAGGAAACUAUGCACAACAUAAGAACGGCUUUAGAUUUUGCAUAUUGUUCCAGAGAUCAUAAUAAAAUAAUAAAAUUGGGACCAAUUUGUUUCAAUUUCAAGCAUUCAAAUCACCAAAACAUCGUCCCUGUACUUUAAUCAUAUAAUUUAUAUUUUGGGAACUGUAUAUUUUCUGUCAAACAUUAUAGCUCAGGAUGUGAAUUUUGUAAGACAUUAAUGCAAAAUAGACCUAUCAGGUAUUUAUAUGGCCAAAAUUUGAUGUCUAACACUCUAACUAAAAUUAUUUGGUGGUGAAAGAAAGAAAGAAACAAGAAAGAAAUGAAGGUAUUACAAUAUCAAGGGAAAUGAAGAGCAUACCGAGGAUUCUAGAUAUGAACUAAUAACACCUUUCAGGGUAAGGUCCUAGGUUGUUACAAAUAGUAUCAGAGCCAACCCAGCCCAUGCCUAUGUGGAUUAGGGAAUACUACAACACGAGCCCAUUUAGGCUAACCAUGAGUUGAACUUGGUGUUUGUGAAUGGAUUUGGAUCCUUAGCCUGGCAAGAAUGCCGGGGCUUAAAAAUAAGGAGAGUAUAUGAGAACCCGUGCAAGUGUGUAUUUAGUCCCACAUCGGCUAUGCACUAGGAAGAUCUUCGGUACUUACACAUAGCCAAGGAACCCAAAUAAUACCUUCUAUCUAGCCUUUUUGGAUGAGAUUUUAGGUUGCUACACAUAGUUUGUGGAACUAGCUGAUAAUACCCCAUGUUGAUAUGGGAUGGCACAAUUCAUGAAAUGGGGUCGACAGUACCAGAUGGUUGCCA